UGGAGUCUCUUUAUUAUUGACUGUUCUCUCAGCUUGGCAUGAUUAAGUUUUCAAUAUUAUAAGAGUGGUAUCAAGCUUAUAUAAGAAACCUAGUUUGAACUUUUCAGUUAUAAACAAAUUAUUUGUGGUUAACUGUAUUAACGUAUAUAGUUCUCACUGCAUAAAUAUACAUCCAAUAUAUACAUAUACCUAUAUUUAAAUAAACCAGAGUAUUUUGGAUUUACAGAAAAGUUGCAGAGUCUCAACUUUACCUAGUUUUAGUUUCCUUAGAUUAUGUUAACGUCAUAUUAUCAUGGAACUUUAUUCAGAACCAAGAAACCAACAGAGGUGCAUUACUGUUAACUAAACUCCAGACUUUGAAUUUCAUCAGUUUAUCUGCAGAUGCCCUUUUUCUGCACCAUGAGCCAUUAUAGGAUGCUGCUUUGCAUUUAAUUAUCAUGUCUACAGUGCUAGAAAAUCUCCAAAGGUAAGAAAUGUGUAAUUAACCCUGGCAUCCCUGGUGUUCCUUCUUACUACAGCAGAACAGGUGUGGUGACUCAUAGGUUGUUGAUUGUCCUCUGCUAGGCACUUCACACACAUUGCCUCCAUACUGCUUCUUCUAUUGUUUUCUUAGGGCUGCCAUAGUAAAUUACUAUAAGCUUAAUCCCUAAACAGUAGAGAUUUAUUCUCUCAGUUCUGGAGGCUACUCUGAAAUUCAGGUGUCAGCAAGGCCCUGCUCUCUCUGAUGGCUCUGAGGAAAAAAUCUUUCCUUGACUCCUCCUGGCUUCCUGGCUGUGGUUCCUAGUGAUCCUUGGGUUUCCAUGGUUUACAGCUGGAUGGCUCCAAUCUGUCUCCGUUAGACAAGGCCUUCUCUUUCUUUCUCUGGUUGGUCUCUCUUUUUACAAUAACACCAUUAGAUUUAGGGCCCACCCUUAUCCACUGUGACCUUAAUUAUAUCUGCAAAGACCCUGUUUUCAAAUAAGGUCACAUCCUAAGGUUCUGGCUAGACAUAAAAUUUGGGAGGGACACAAUUCUCUUGUACCGUUACUGUUAUGGUUUGGAUAUGAGGUAUCCCCCAAGCUCAUAUGUGAGAUAAUGCAAGAAGGUUCAGAGGACAAAUGAUCGGAUUACUAGAGCCUUAACACAAUCAGUGACUUAAUCACCUGAUGGAAUUAAUUGAGUGGUAAUUGAAAGCAAGUGGGGCAUUGAGGGCGUGGCUCUGGGGUAUAUAUUUGUAUUUGGCAAGUGGAGAUCUUUCCUUCUGCUUUCUGAUCAUCAUGUGAGCUGGUUCUGUCUGCCACACUCUUCUGCCAUGAUGUCCGGCCUCAUCUGGAGCCCUGAGGAUUAGAACCUGCUGUCUAUGGACUAAGACCUCUGAAACUUGACCCUAAGGUGUGGGUACCACAAUAACUCCUAUAUCCCAGCUGAAGAAAUGAAAGCAUGGAGAAGUCAAGGAAUUUGCAAGAGGAGCAAAACCCUAGCAUUUGAACCAGGAUCAGUAGGAUUCUAGAAGCUGUGUUCGUGAGUUGGGCAUUCACAUGGAAAGCUCUUCAGAGCUGGUGGGUUCCAGCAGGGCCCUGAAGAUAAUAGAGCUCAAAGCCCAGGAGGGUUGGGGCAUAGGACAAGAUGGAGGAGGAAGCACAGCCCUUGAAGACAGGCCUGGAUUCAAUCCCUGUGCCAGAUCCUACCAACACUGAGACUCCAGUCAAAUUACACCCAGCCCCCCAUAUCCUGAGACCUGCAUCCUUGGAUUUAACCAGCCAAUUUAACCAGAAAUUAUUUUAAAAAUAUCACAUUUGUGUUAAACUUGUAUAGGCAUCUUUUCUUGAUCAUUAUUCCUUAAACACUAUAUCAUGACAACUAUUUACAUAGCAGUUAAAUUGUAUUAUAAGUGAUUUAGAGACAGGAGGUUCUGCAUAGGUUAAAUGCAAAUACUAUGUCAUCUAAUCUAAAGGACUUGAGCAUCCAUGGGUUUUGGUAUGCUCAGAGGAUUCUGGAAUCAAUCCCUGGGGGGCUUAUUGAAGAUGACUACUCUAAUUUUUCUCAUUGAUAAAAUGAGGCAAUGCAUAUCUUACAGUGCUGCUGGGUGGAGCAGAUGGGAUCAUGCACAGAAGUACUUACUACAGUGACCAGUAAAUUUUGGCCAUUAGUUCUAUUUACAAUUCACUAGAUGAGCUAAUUAGUACAUAUGAAGGUCUUAGAAGAGUGAGUGCACAGAGCAAGCUCUUGAUAAUAAUAACACUCAACACCUUUAAAACACUUGCUACACAUCAGACACUAUUGAAACUGCUUUGUAUAGAUUAAUUUUAUGAACACUCACACCAGGGCCUAUUCCUAUUUUCAAAGGGAGGAGAGCGAGGCAUGGAGAAAUCGAAUAACUUUCCCCCAAACCUGCAGUUAGUCAUAUUUAUCCUCCAUGAUCCAUGGCAGUAUUUUCUAAUAUGCACUGUUGAACCCUGGAUAAGUACUUCAGUGGGUCAUGGAGGAGACUCCCCUUCAAACGUGCAUUCAUUCAACUCAAACUGCUUGCCACCUCUGUGCCAGGUGUGGAGGAAUGGGUAAGGCCCUGUCUUUGAUAUACAAACCAUAUCUCAGUAGUAACCCUAAAUUGUAAUGGCUUAAACGCAACAUUCCACUCUGUCUUUGUGGAAUCUGUAAACCAGUGGUCAGAGAUGGGAAAGUACCUAUGCAUGAGAUGAUUUUGGAUCAUAGUAACUGCUCUGAAGAAGGCUGUGGUUUCAAUAGUUGGGGUGGUCAGGAAGGUUGCAAGCCAGGAAGAUCAGAGUGUACAAAGAGUAGCUGGGCUUGGCGGGACACCUCAAGCAAAAUGAAGUGGGGUGAGCUGCUGCGUUUGGUCUCUUCUGCACAGGAUUUCAUUGGAUUAAAAAGUUCUUUUUUUUUAAUUAAAAAAAUGGAUCACUGGAUAAAUAGUUGGAAGAAAACUGGAUGGGGAAAAAUGUUUGGAAACCACGAAAGUUAAGCUAGCUUUGCCAUUUUAGGAAUAAGCAGUCCAGGGUUCUGACCUUAGCUCUAGCUCUAAUUGCUGUGUAAUGCUGGGAAAGUCACUAGGCUUCUCUGGUCCCCAUCCUAGCUCCAGCACAUGAAGGGUAAUAGUAACUAUUAUGGUUACCUACCAAGAGUGUUUGGGGACCAACUAAGGAGAGCUCUGAGGGAGUAAGCCCAUGCAAGUACUAGGUAUGUCUGGGAAUAGAUGUGGCCAAUGGGGGCUCCUAUAGUGUGGGCAGGGGGACCAUGGUGAGCUCUGAGCAAGUGUGACCAUCUAAUGGCUGUUCCAACAUUGCUGGAGGGAGGAUGUCUUUGGGACAAAUGAGACUUGCUCCUUUAUAUCACUGGCUGGGUAAUUCUUUCCUGAUUUAAGAUAGGAAAUAUUAAAUCCAAGCCGGGUGUGGUGGUGCAUGCCUGCAAUCCCAGUGGUUUGGGAGGCUAAGGCAGGAGGAUCUCAAGUUCAAAGCCAGCCUUAGCAACUAAAGUUGCUCAGAGCCUGUCUCAAAAUUUAAAUAAAUAAGUAAGUAAGUAAAGGGCCAGGGAUGUGGCUCAGUGGCUAAGUACUUCUGGGUUCAAUCCAGGCCACAGAGAAUUCUAGAAAUCGAGAAGAAGGGGUAAAUGAGUUUUCUCUGAGAGAGAAGAUGAAAUUUCAGUUUCAACUUCACACUGUCAAAUGAUGCCUACAUUUGAGAGAUGGGCUUGGGGUAAAUUAUUAGAAUGCAUCAGGUUACUAUUCAUGAUAAACACUCACAUUCUCUUAAAACAAUCCAAUAACUGAAAUGGCUUCUGUGGGGCAACCCACCUUUGUGCUCUGCUCUGUGCAUGCAUGUGUGUGCCUGCAUGAGCGUGUGUGGGUGUGUGAGGUGUGGGUGUUGUAGCCCACGUGACUCUAAGAGAGCCAAAUAACUCUGAGGCUUCUAAUUAUCCCCUCUGUUCCUGAUCUUAAGAAACCAAGGCAUAGGGAAAUUGUUAACAGUAAAGGACAUGCAGUUCGAACACUUCACAUAGUAAACCACUUCUUUAAAGGGGGUUGGGGGGCUAGGGGUGUGGCUCAGUGGAAGAGCACUUGCCUAGCAUGAGCAAGACCCUGGGUUUGAUCCCUAGGACAAUAAAAUAAGGUAAAGGAGAUCUCUGCAUACUACCUUCUCCUGAUAUGGUACAGCCCUAACUUUAUCAGUGUGGGUCCCGGAAACCACUUAAACAGCAGUCAGAUAAGUCAGUGGUCAGAUAAGUCAGUGUCAGAUAAGUAGGCAAAGUGCCAUGUGAGGUGCCUAAGUGUCUGUCCAUUAGUGAGCCCAGAGAGAUCAUUCCAGCAUCUUUUGUAUAUUUUUUGUGUGCCUCAGUCUUUCUGCUCACUAUUAAGAGGACAAGAGCCGAGGGUGAGUUAUGUUUUGAAGCUAAAAGGAACUACUGAUAAUGGUAGCCAUGUUUUGCUGGUAACAUAUGGCUUCCCCUCGCCCUUUGAGUGAGAAGUGCCUGGUUUUGCACAUGCAUGUCCACAGUCUCUAAUCACAGUCUUCCUUUGUACAACUAAUAAUUGGAAACAGGAUUUUAAAAGGCUGGUACCAGUCCUCCAAGCCACAGCCUCCACAGCACUACUAUAGUCAAGGCAGCAUCCCAAAGCUGCAAAUAAUUCAUUCUUUGUGAGAAAUGGGAAGAGAAAUCUCUGCACCCUACUGAGUACUUCAGUGGGACAGCUAGCAUCUGCCCUAAAGCCAAGAUCCCAUGAUGUUUCAAGAUCUUAGAUGAUUCAUCUGGCUGUGCUCUUUCACAUACUUUGAUCCUGUACUGCCAAGUUCUUCUUCCUACCCUCCCUUUAGCAGGAAGCCCCCUCAACCUCAGCCCAUCUUCUGCACCAGGCUAAAGCAUGGAAUCAGAGGAGAUCAGACUCCUUCAUCACAGUGUGGAUUUGAAGUCCUGGCAAGACUGCCAGGCAUCCCAGUGGCGGACCCAAUUGCCUGGAGGAGCCUUCCCGCUUACCCUGGUAAUCUGGAUGUUGUUCAGCUGCUGCUGCCAGUGUAGAAUCGUCUCCAUGCGGUACACCCACAUGUUAAUGUUGCCCACCAGCACAGACUUGCCGACUCUCUGGACUAGUGUACAUAAGGAUGUAUAGAGGGUCUGCAGUAGUUCCCUUAUGAGUCUAAUGUUUUGCUGGUCUUCAAGGACUUGAGUAGAGAAGAAAAAAAAUACAGUUAUGAUAGUGGAACACUGUGUGUUUUUAAAGUGAGCUUUUCUUCUCAUCUGCUCCUGUUACCAGGCACUGCCUCUGGGGAUACAGUUUUCUUUCUCACCAGUGUUGAUUCUACAUUUGGCCAAGCUUCUGUACUCAAGGCUAAGGGGUAGAGUUUCCAUGAUCUAGGUCCCUCUUUGUUCUUCCUGAUUCUCUAUAAAGCCCCUUUCUCUCUCCAUUGUUCCAUAGCACCAAUGAUUCACCUGAUCAGAAAGCUGCUACUUUUGCUCAGUAGUGGCAUCUUUUAGAUCACCAGUGGAAAGAACACAGUUCUGGGGUUAGGAGGUUGGGUUGAUCUCUGUAUGAUUGUGGACAAACCCCUUCUCCUGGGUGUAUAAUGACCUACUUAAGCCAGAAGUCUAAGGUUCCCUGUAGCUCAAAUAACCUAAGAAUUGAGAUGCACACAGCUAAAUUUCCUCGUCAUUUGGAGACUCAGUAGCUAAGGGUGGGAUGUGUGCUCCCAUGGAGAAGCUUGCGAUGCAAAGCAGAGCGAAUGAAUCAUCCCAGAGACACAGGACGAUGAUGGUCUCAUUCUUUGCCAUCAUCAGAACGUGGUACCCCUGAAAUGCAGCUGGAGUUAUUCAUUUCCAUCCACUGAUAUUAAUUUAAAUCAAAUACAUGUCUACUGUAUGAGAAAUCCAUCUGUCCAUCACCUUGCCUACAAAAAGGGUGAGAGAGUGGGCUCACCUUUUAGUACCACCUUUUCCAAAAUGUUCAUGAAGUUCUUUUGGGCGAUACCACUCAGGGAUGUGAGCUGUGACUUUGCUAUCAGUUCCAACAGCUGUGGAUAAAAAUAGAAGUUGCCAGGCUUAGAAUUUGGAGAUAUUUUUCUCUUCUAAUCUUCACUUUUGAGUCACAUGACAUGUAGACACAGACUGACGAAGAGAGAUAAAUGGCAGGCAGGACUACCAGGCAAUAAAGCAGAUGUUUGACAUGAGAGACAAAUGGGGUAAUUCAAGACCCAUGAAUCAGGCUGAAUAUUUAAUUGCUUUUUUCCUUUUAAAUGUAAAGACUUUUGGCUUUGGGGGUGGGUAAUCCAUUCUACUUUCCCUACUUCAGUGGGCAGAGCUGAGGGUACUCUGAAGAGAACAAAAUCUCCCAUGAUGCCUCUUGAGUUCUGCAUAAUCAGUCCCCCUACCCGCCUCACAGAACUUCUCUGCUCUGCUCCCACUUGAACUUUUCCCCCAUUGGCACCGACUGCCUUGGAGGCACCUGGAAGCUCAUGUUCAGUACUUCAUGCAUUUUUCAAGGACAUAGCAAUUAGUUUCCAGAUAUCUCCUGCUUAUGAAGUGUUCAAUAAAUGCACCUAUUCAUUAGAAUCUCACUGCACUCAACUUUCUAUAGAAAGGGGCCAAUCAGAGCAGAGUGAGGGCAAUUUAAGGACUUGUAGUCUGAAUACCUGUUUUGAUCUGGUGGCAGUGAUGUCACUGUGGCUGAGAACUAGGAUCCUCAUAAUUCUUAGCCUUGAUCAAGUCUUGAUUUGACUGUGAUUAUGGGCAAGUCACUAGCUUUCUUGGUAACCCAAGGUUUCUAUUAAUACUCAGAGUCCCUGAGGUUGUUGUGAGCUUUAAAUGAGACAAUGCACAUGCAGCCCUUAGUGCAGUGUCUGGAACAUAUUGGGUGCUAAAAAAUAUCGAUUGGCUUGUUGAAGGACUAUGUCCCGUUCCUAAUCUGCUAUCCCCAAAUGGAACAGAUAAGAACUGAAGUUGGUGUGUUCUUAGUUUAGUUUUCUUUCCUUGUAUGGGAAAAUUCUGUACUCCUGUGUCAUGAUUUUAAAAACCCCAAAGAUUCUACUGUUGAAACACGAAAGUUCAACAGUAGAAUUUUUGCAGGGGUCUUACAGAUGGUCUAGUUCGACACACUAAACAGAUGAACAAAGUGAGGCUUAAGCAAACAACUUCACAGCCAGCAAGAGGACAAAGCAGUAUCUUGGAAAUGGGAAAAUAAGGAGACACUCCUCAUGCUUUCCAACAGGUAUCAAAAGAAAGGGUUGACACAAAGUGAAAAUUAGUUUCAGAACCCACCAGGUCCCCAGGAGAGCAAACUAGAUUGAGACUUUGUAAAAUAGAAAACUAAGACCCUUUCUUUCUUGGAAUUCCUGUUCCUAGGAACUUUCUAUAAGAGAUGGCCCUGGCCAGGAUCCCACGCAACUCCAAAACACUGACUAUGGUGCUGUGUUGGGUGCUGGCAUCAAGGCUGAGGGAAGAAGCAAAGUGAAAUUUAAAAAACCUGGGUUGCAGAGGAGGACUGAAAUCUUGGCUCAAGCCCCAGGCAGUUGAGAGCACCUCUGCUUCCAAAGCACUUGUUCAAACAUUUGUCCCCACUGAGCCUUUUAGGCACCUGUCAAACCCCCGGAAAGACUUCAUUUCCUGAACACAAAUUUUAAGUUGAAAAAUAAGAGAAAAAAAGAGAAACCCAAAACACUUUUCGUGCCUGGAUAUGUAUCUUCCACACACAUAGGAACUGGUUUUUGGGGUGAGAACUAGUGACCUAAGGCUGGAAGGUAGGAGCUGACUGUGUUGCUAAGAAAGGCAAGAAAUCAAAACACGGGUAGAGGACAUGGCUAUGGGCAGUGACCACACUGAAUGCUCUCUGCCUAUCUGAUUUACUUCUGCCACCAACCAGCAUGUGACAGUCAAGAGAUGAGUGAAAGUGGCACAAAGGGGCUAGCCAAACUUUUCAUUUAUCUCCCUGACCCACAGCAAGAUCCAGAAGGCCCAGGCGGUGGUUUAUUAAUACCCUGAGCCUCACAUGAUCAGCACAGAGCAAGAUGAAAGAAAACAAAAGCCGGGAGUCUGCUCUGGAGGCAGCCGGCUCACUGUGACUCACCACUGGGUGGGAGGUGGGUCGAGGGGGCAGGAGGAGCGAAGGCAGCGCUUGGCCUGAAAUCUGUCCAAAACCCAGAUUCCAUGUGAUUACCAUCUCAUGGAGGGUGUCAGUUUUAAUCUCGUCUAAAAGUGCACCAAUCACAAGGACAAGAAAACUCUGAAGGCUCUGACUGUGCAUUUAACGGGAAACAAAAAGCCCUUUGGACUGGCUGAGAUUAUCUUCUUUGACUAGGCCAGGGAAGAAUAUAUCAGCAAGGAUUUGUCAACAGACAGCAGAAUGACAUGUCAACUACUCUGUGUUUCAUCCGAUCUCAAGGGAAAGUCUCUUUUUUUACUGCCAGGCAGCUGUGGAACCCUGGAAUAGGAGACCUGGAUUCUUCAGCUUGGUGACCUUUACAACUGUCAUUCAUUUGGCAAGUGUUUCUGAGUGUUCACUUUGUCCUAGCGUUGUGGUAGGUCAUGCCCAUCGGGUAUGACGGUAAAGACACAUGAUCCUUAGUCUCAAGGAGUUUACUGUCUAGUCAUUUAAUCUCUCAUAGCCCCAGUUUCUUUAUUUCUAAAAUGGCAAUAAAAAAACUACCUACUUCACAGGAUUAUUAUGAGAAUUAGGUGAGAUAAAUACGUAAAAAUCCAUGCCCCAAAUAAGGCAUUAUUAUUAUUAUAAGAUAGUUUUCUUCUUUGAAAUCCCAGUCUGCUAGUGAAGUUUGAAGUUGACAUCUGGGGUUGGCAAACUUCUGAAAAGGGCCAGUUUAGUAAAUGUUUAGGGUUUGUGGAUUUCAUGGUCUCCUCUGUAACACUCAGGUUUAUGGUGGUAGUGCAAAAGCAGCCUUGAACAAUAUGUAAAUGAUGUGUAUAGGUGUGUUCUAAUAAAUCUUUAUUUACAAAAACAGGUAGAGGGCCAGGUGCUUGGGCCAUAGUUUGCCAACUUCUGAUUUAUAGCUAGAGUUUAAGAGUGGAAGUUCCAGAGCCCAACUGCUUGCCUCAGUUUUCCCAUCUAUAAAAUAUGCAUAAUAGUAGCAUCCACUUCAAGUUACUGUGAAGAUUAAACAAAUUCAUAUAGCACUUACAACUGUGCUUGGUAUACCAAAUACAUUAUUAUCAUUGGCUUUUAUCAUAAUACAGAGAAUAUUGCUAGAUAAAAUUAUUGCCAUUGCAGAAAAUAGUGAAUUAAUAGGACAAAGUAUAGCCCAUUUAAAGACUCUAUAUUCUAGUUGUGUUGUCAAUUAAAUGCUUUCAAAUUUAAAUGUUUCUUUCUGUCAUUUUUAUUAUGUUUGUGAUGCCUUUAAUAACUCCCUGUCUGUUGGUAAAAGCUAAUGUUGACACAUCUUUUAGACUUGCAUAGAUACACGUACCAUGAAAUCUUAUUUUGCUAACAAUAAUGAGUGUUUACCAUGUGACAGAGAAUGUGCCAAGGGCUUUGCAUACAUGAUCUUGUUUAAUCUUCAACAACAACCCAAUGAGGUAGUUUGCUAAAAUGAAGACACUGAGGCUCGGAGAAGUUAAAUAACUCACCUAAAGACGUACCAGCAAAAGCAAAUGCGGGGCCAAAUUUUACUCUUAAUAGUAGCAGUACUAUGUAUUGUUAUGUUCUGGGGACACAGAGCUUGGAAAUUCACAUCAGUAUUAUUCUGUGACUGGUGAUCAGCUUUUCAUGUUAAGGGAGAAACAAUAUGCAGCAUGUUUGUAAUAGCACAUUUAGGAGGAGGCAAUUGCUUUGGGUUAAACAUUCAGUUUAUUUUGUACGCAGGUCCAGAAACAGUAGCAGUGUUGUUUGGGACUAGUAGUAAAGAGGACAGAAUUUGUUAAUUUGACUUCAAUGUUCAUCGAGUUGUAUGCCCCUGGGGCAGUAGGUUUGUAUCUAGCAAUUUGUUUACCAAAAUGACUGAGCCAACUGGAUUCUUCCUCCUUAGCCACAAGAGAAAAAAGAGAGCAGAGGAAAAUGGAUUGUUUGGAAGUGGUUGUUUGUUUUCUACUGGGCAAAUUUAGCCCAGGUGCCAGUAAUUUGUGGCUGUGUUUGAGAGGCAAGAGGGGGAGGGGGAAAAAGGAGGAGGGCUCUGGGCUCCUCCUGAAUUCCACCUUGUCAUUGUGGUGUGGCCAGUGUGGUGAUCAGGCCUGAUCUGUAGUGACUGGUUGAGCAGUAAUAGGAAUGAGGCUGUGCUACUAGAGGAAGGGGUGGUGGUCACCACUUGCCCAAACCACAUCCUGCUCUUCAGCUUUAGCUCUUGCUAGUUUGGAGAUGAUGAGUUGGAGAAAAAUCUAGUUGCAGGCAAUGCAGAAGAGCAAAUCUCAGAAUGCACAUCAACCACAAAUGAAGUGAUAUUUGGAAGACACACAGGCAGGAGAGAGUUCCCUCCUACAUUACUCACAUAAAAGCAAGCUCCUUCUCUUCCCUCAGUGCAUCCUAACAUCGCUCUCUUAUUUGUAAAAAUACAUCAGUGCAUAUCACUUCCAUGCUUAAAAUCCUCAAAUGGGGCUGGGGUUGUAGCUCAGUGGUAGAGCUCUUGCCUAGCACAUGUGAGGCACUGGGUUUGAUCUUUAGCACCACAUUAAAUAAAUAAAUAAAAUAAAGGUAUUGUGUCCAUCUACAACUUUAAAAAAAAAAAAGUAACAAAAAUAGCAGCUUCCCUUGCCUGUUAGUUUAGAAGGUCAAAACCACAUGGAGGUUAACCAUGAGGCUGUUGCCCAAGCAUACUCUAUCUCAUGGGAGAUUGUUAAGAACAGAAGUUAUGCUCCAACUCUUCCAUCUCCCAUGACAGCAGGGCUCUGAAGCUUGACUGGAAAGUCUGCCACUGUUAUCAAAGGCAGGAAAGAGGACCAGCCUCAAGAAGUCCCAGCCAUGUCUCACGCUCAGUACCCAAGCUGGGUGCCCACCAGAAGGUGAUGUCUUUUGCAAUAAACUCUUGGUUAUAUUAGGCAGGGCCUCUGCCUGCACUCAGUACCAUGCACUUCCAAGACCCUUAUUUACUCAAUGGAUAACACAGAGCAUGAGCCUGGAAAGUUUUGUCCUGACUUUGAGCUUAAACACUGACAGGUUGGAAGAGGAAAAAUUUCAGCAGCAUUAAUAAUCUUCAGGCAUGUCAAGAUUGGGUAAAUAUUAUUUGCAAGUGAAACAUCUUUCUAACUGAGGGAGUUAAAAUAGCGAGGGCCAAGUUUACAUGAAUUAAUCGUAUCCUCAGCUGAGAGGAACUUGCCUCUCCAUCUUUCACUGAUCCCAAUUAAUUUUGAUGUUACAUCGGUGCCCGGUUCUGAGCAUCAAUGGUUAGCUCAGUGAUCUUUCUUAAACUGAUAUCCCCACCUCUAUUCUGAUUUUAUGAUGCUGAAUGUCACACUGUCCUCAGCCCUCACCCAUGAUCACUCCCCUUCACUUCCAUUCUUUCUCAUAUCCAGGUUUCUGCUCAUGUCAUUUGUCCCUUCAAAGCCUUCCCCCUGCCUCUCCAUCUGCCAAAUCCUGGUCAUCCUUCAAAGAAGCAGAUUCUCAGGUUCUACCUCUCCCAAGAAACCACUUGCUCCUAGCCAGUACCAAACUCAACUUGUUCAUUAAAUGUUGUGUCUUGUCACCCAAAGUAGGCUGGAAGUACCUGACAAGCAGGGGCCAGAUCCCCCGUGAUUCUCAAGUGGCUAAGGCACUGUGAGUUUGUGGCCUCAAAACAGAAGUUCAUGGACUCAAAGGCUUUCUCUGUGCCUUUGAAGCACUGUGCACCCUGUGGAGACCUAGCAGGAGGAUGAUGGGAAUUUGCUCCUGGACACUGUUGAUCUCCUUCUUUAAUGGAAUCAAGAGACCUUCAGAUACUAGUUGCUCAGAGCACAGUGUCAGAUACCCUCAGGAACAUUCCUCCUUGGACGAGCAAAAGUCUGCUGAACUGACACUUAAAAACUUAGCUUACCUAUACAAUUUGGCAUGUUCCUCUCUAUAAUAAGCACCAACUCAGCUUAGAGAUCUAAGUCAAUUUCAACAUAAAAUAUGUUUCUGAGCCUUUUGUGCUAUGUGUCUAGAUUCUGAGUCCUCAAGAAAAGCAUUAUACAAACUGGCAUGCUUUUGAUCCAGUGGUUUCCAAAAUAAAAUCAGAUAGGAAAAUACAAAGUCAUCAUCACUCAUGAUCAUUUCUGAGAGUCCCUUUCAGAUGGAGUCACAGCCCUUCUCUGUUGACUCUGUUGCUGUGUGGCAGCUGGCCACCUUCCCUCUAUUCCAGAUACCACCAGUUUUAUGGCCCAGGUGGCAGGGCCACCCUCCAUCACAGAAAGGCCACCAAGUGUGUGUAGCACCAAGUAAAUCCCCAAGGUCAUUGAAGCAGAGGAACCUAUGUGCAGGGCCAGGCUGCUCAUGCUAAUCAUGACCCGCAGGGGUUUGGCAACAGCAUGCUCUCAAUUUAAGGCACUGGGUUUAAAUUUGAGUCAUUGGGCCAUAUUCAACCUUUUGUUUGCCAAACCGCCAGUCAACUUAAACUAAAACAUGUUUUUGGAAAAUGCACUUCAGGGGUGGUAGGAAUGCAGAAACUUUCUGGAAAUAUUCAAAUAGACUUAGGGUGGUAAUGUGGGGGGAAAAAAAAGAAUGUGCAUUGGUUUAGGUUGUGAUGUUCUUUUUUGCUGCAGGAGGGUGGGUUGCAAAUUUUACUUGUCCUUCCUGAUCGAGUAACACAUAUGGGUUAGUAUACUCUAGUCAGGGAAAUUAGUACUCAAGUUCUGCAUGACCUUCUGGGGCUGAUAAUGACAGCUACAGUUACCAUAUAGUUGCCCUCAUUCUCAUCCCAUAGAGAGAGCUGGAAGUGAUGAUCAAGGUCAUCCUGACAUGAUUUCUCCUGUAAGACAGUGUGUGCAAAUAAUUUAGUGAUUAUAGAAGAGGGCAGGCUCCAUUCUGAACUUCUCCAUCCAAGAUAUGUGGUGGAGGGGAGAAUACACUGGAGCAUGAGUCAGGACCAGAUUCAGGUCCUGUUUUGCCUCUGCAUCCCUUUCUGGCUAGGUGACCUUGUGCAAAUCACUCAGUUCCAUGGCUUCUGCUUCCUCAUCUUUAAAAUGGGUAACAACAACUGCCUUCUGAACCACCUGAUGAUGCUCAUCAACAAAAUAAAAGUACAGGGAUGUGAUCAGCAAACUGCACGGUAACAGACUUAUCAUAUGAUAAUUGAUAGCAUCUGGAAAUGUCAGAAGCCAUUUCAAAAUCAUGAAUCUGAAAUACUGCUUUUUCAAGGUGCCCUGUUCCUUGUUUAUUUCCCACCCUGCAGCUCCCUCCUGCUUGCCAGAUUAUGGUGCAUGAAGUAGCUUCACCUUCAAAGCCUCUUCUCAAACCUGUGCAAUCUCCUCCUAGUCAGAUUUAAAUGACUAGUCAUCAGCAGAGCUCAUGGGCUUCUUAUCACACAGGCACUGUGACCUGCUUAUCUCAUUCAGUGUCAGUCACAGCUCUGGGAGGAGUACUAUGAUCAUCAUUCCCAUGUAGCAGGUGAAUGAGUGAGGCCUGUCCAGGAUCAUGCUCAACCAGCCUGUGGCCAUUCUCUUAGCUGAUCCUGAAUCAUAAAGUACACUGCUACUUUUGUCCAAAUGGAAUAUUCUGCUCACUGGUCUCUGAACAGACCUGAGUCCUGCCUGCCUCCAUUCAGUCUAUCCCUACUCAAGACCAGUUCAAACCCCACUUUCUCCUUGAAGACUUUUUCAGCUACCCUGCCCACAUGAUCCUACCUCUGGAAGUUCAUAGGCCAUCUGGCUCUGCUACAUCUUGGUACUUUCAAACUCUCUUAUGUUGAUGGCUCAGGUAACUUCCUUUAAUGCAUAUUCCUCAAAUAACCAGUUAGAUGGUAAAGCAGUGGUCAACAACUUUUUAUGUAAAGGCCAGAUCAUGAAUGUUUUAGACUUACAGGCCAUAAUAACUCUGUUGCUCAACUCUGAACCCAACUAUGCAUUUAGCACAGAAAGAGUAUUGACAAUAUUUAAUGAAUGAACAUAGCUAUGUUACAAUAAAAUAUUAUGGAUACUGAAAUUUGAGUUGCAUAUAAUUUUUAUGUUAUAAAAUAGUAUAGUUUUUAUUUGUAAGAUAUUAAAAAAUAUACAAAUCAUUCUUAGCUUGUAGUCCAUGCAAACAUAGGUAGUAGGCUGUAUAAGCCUAAGGGCCAGCAAUUUGCUGACACUUGCAGUAGACCUUAAUGCAGGGUUGUAUCUAUUUUAUCUUCCUAUUUCCCUCACUGGAUAGUGGCAGGGCCAAGUGACAGGAGCACAGAUUCUGGAAUAGUACAAAUCUGAGUUCAAGUUCCAGUUCUACUCAGCAAUCACAGUUACUUAGCUGUUGGUUCCUGCCCUUUUUAAGCUAUGCUUUUUAUUGGUAUGGUUCAGGUUUUAUCUUCAUUUAUGUUAUCCCAAUAAUGCAGUUUUCUCAACUGACUCCGUGGGGAACAGGGAUAGGCACUUGGGUAAAUGUUGAUGUUUUCUGUUGUUGAGCCUCACUAGCGAGAGCAUAGGGAUUUAAAAAAUGUAUACAAGUUCUAAGCACCCAUUCUAAGCAAAUAGGCAAAUGUCCUCCAACCCCACACUGUAUCUGUUCUGCAAAUUGAGACUUCCUUGUCCCAUCAGCCCAGAUGUAGAACACCUAUAAAAACUUACAUUGAGUAAUAUACCGCUUAUAUUAACUUUGAAAUAAUUAUUAUGUUCACAAAUUUGAAAACUUGGGACUUAUUGGAUUAAUUGCCGAGGAAAGAUGACUGCAUAUGUUUAGAUCCUACCUCCUUCCUGAAAAAUAAAUUACAAUGCAUUUUGAAACUUAUAUAACAUUUUCAUAUCCGUUAUCUUUAUUUUCCUACUGUAUUUUCCAUUCUCACAAAAAUGUUUUAAUACAGAUAUGAUUACUCCAGUGUUAUAGUUUGGAGAGGUACAGUGGCGGAUUUGCAGAUGGUGUCCCAGCUAAUAAGCUUUGAAUUCAAAGUGGGAUGUCAAAGGGGCUGUUCCCUGUCCAUUACUGCAUUCAUUCCUAAUGGACCACAGUAUAUACCCUAGAAGUCAUAUCCAAAAUUUAAUUCUUCAGGGUCUGUUGUUUAAAACCCCAUUAUGUAAAAUAUAACAUUUGGGCUCCAAAGUCAUUUCUGAGCUGAUGUGCAAACUUGAAAACUCAUUGGGAUCACCUGGCUAGCAUUUUAAAGGGGGCAAUACCCGAGUACUGUCUUCAACUAAUUAAGUCUGAAGUUCUAGAGGCAGGCCUCUGAAGUCUGUCAAGCCUCGUAGUUGACUCUAAUGUGCAGUCAGGGCUGAAAUCCACUUAAUUCUGUGACCUCUCUGUACCUGGUUAGUUAGCACCCAUUUUCUCUUGGUCACCAACUGUCAACCCCAUGACUGUCUCAGCCACCAGAAGCCUCUGGUCUUGAGGAAGAAGAUAAGCUACUUUUGUAAUUGGACUUCCACAAAUAGAUGACAGCCAGCAUGAACAUUAAAAAAAAACAAAGCCAGAUGCGGUGGUGCAUGCCUGUAAUACCGGUGGCUUGGGAGGCUGAAGCAGGAGGAUCACAAGUUCAAAGCCAGCCUCAGCAAUGGCGAGGCACUAAACAACUCGCUACCCUAUAAAAUUGGGGCCAGUCCCUCUUACAGUGGAGGAGAAUGAGUCUUCAUGUGAAAAUCAGAGGAUCUGGACCUGACUUCAGGACAUUUUACUUUAAAUCCUUGGCUUACAUGGAAUUUAUCAUAAAACUUAAGAGUAUGGACCCUAACACUGAUAUUGUCUCUUUUGUAGCUUUGUGACCUUGGACAAGUCAUUUACUUUGCUAACCUGCCUGCCAUUUGUUUAAAUGAAGCUUGCAGAAGUGCCUAUGCUUCAUUGGGUUUCUGCAAGGAUAAAAACUGAGACUGCACACAGUUGCCUGAAAUUAUAUUUCCACUAUUAUGGUCCUUAUUCCUUCGCUUUAUUUUAUUUUUAUGAAAGAAAAUAUAGGUAGGAAGAAAAACCAUCUAAAAAGGGACUGUUUUAAUUAUCAGUCUGUAGCAAGACAUCAGAUCUAGGUGUCUUCCUCUAACACAGAAGAUGGAAACUAUUCGUAUUCUUAGCAACAGAAGUUUCAAGAUCUCCCUGGGCCUGUUUCCAACCAGCCUGGACUAGUUUGCAGGCACUAGGAGGACUAGGUGACCUCCUUAAACUGGCAGAGUCAUGCUGAAUGACACAAACAUCUCACCCAAGAAAGGUUCUUAUUUUCACAGAUUGGAAACAGGGCUUAGCUGGGAGUGUACUGAUCUGCACAUGCCUCAGGGGCUCCACUCAGUGCUUCUAACCUGCAGGCUGGGUUUUGACCAGGUCAGUUUGCACGGCCAAGCUUGCAUCUGCCCAGAUGACAGGUGAAUGAUCAGGCCUCAAGAGGCUUGAAUGUCAUCACUCUGGCUGAGCUUCUGCAAUCAUCUGACUCUGUGACACAGCACUGAGAAGCCCAACAACUCAGAAAAAGAAAAUAAAAACCAAACCAAGCAACACCCCCAGGGGGAAAUUUCCCUCCUACUUCAGAGCCUGAAACCCAAACAGCUGUUACAUCCCCUGGUGAGCCACCAACAAAUAUGGGCAAGGGACCUUCAGGGGGAAGAACAACAACAGUCACCCAAAUAGAAAGAAUUGAUGGCUUGGAAGUCAUGGUCAGCUUAUUUGCUUUAAUCCCAGUAGUAUUCAUUAAUUAAUUGUGAAAACUCACUUAUUUUUUUUCUAAAAUAAAGUUUAAAAUGGAAAUCAAUAGAUGUCAACAGGCAGUUUUAGGAUUUAGGUAGACAGGGGACUAAGUGCCAUUGUCACAUGGGCAUGGGGGUGGAAGUGAGUCAUGGAAGGCCACAUUGAGAUGCUGUAAACCUAUCCAGUUUUGUGUCCUCAAGUAAGAAUUCCUUAGGGUCACUCAGAGUCAGCCAAAGCAGAAUAGGAAAGGGACAAUCAGAUGCAGAAGGUUUUAAAACAAGCCAAAGUAUAUUAGGGCUUGGUUCCUGCCGUAGUGUCUCUUGCUCAUGUUGCUACCUGCAACACAUUCCCAUUUGUCCAUUGGGUGGGCUCAAGGGACUGCAGUGAAUUUUCAGUUGAGGGGACCGGCUCAUGAACAGACUGACUUACUGAAGGAGUAUGGCAGUCCCUGUAUGUCAGGGUCGAUCUCAAGGACAUCCUCACCUAAGACCUUGAAGAGGGAGGUUGGGCACCUUUUUUCUGCUUGCCUCGAAACACUCAGGGUCCUGAACUGCUGUCUUCUGAGGAAACUACUUCAGGAAACCCAAACAGACAAUUCAACGCGAGAAUCUGGAUAAGCUUUGGGCUCUUGAGACUUACCCGUACUACGUAGUUGAAUCUUCUGGAAUCCAGAAUGGCAGUUGAGAAGUCCAGUCUGUUGAAAGCUUCCCCCAAAGUGCAGUAUCCAUGGCGCUGAAUGUAAAACAAAGACACAGAAGUUAUUCCUGCCAUGCAGAGGUGGUUCUCUGGAACAAUCCAACUGGACUCUACCAAACAAGCUUGAUGCCUGUCUUAGGGAACCUGGGCAUUGGUAUUUCCUGCACCAUGAGUCCCUGGGGGGGGGCACCAAGAAGGGUGAUGUGUCUGGCAGUUGCUUUUGUUGGGGACUACCAUGAGAAAUGUCCCUUUCAUGACUUAAACCAUCUGGGCUCUUUUUCUCUACAUACGAGUCUGGGAAAAUAUUUCUGGAAGCUGAAUAUAUGAUGGGGAGAUGACAAUGGCAAGUGAGUGAUUGUGAUACAUUCCCCAGAGAACUAGAUGCACCUGUGUCAACUGUGGCACCAAUCUGCUCACACUAAUAGCACCUUUUAAAAAAGGCUUUGAGAGGAAGUAAAAAAGAAGUUUUGAUCUUUUGCCUAUGAAUGCACAAGGCAUUGAGAGUUCUGGCUCACAGUCCCAGCUCUGCUCUGCGUAUCUGGGUGGUCUGUUCUGACCCUCUCUGGGCCUCAAACACUGAGUGAACUAGAAGUUUUCCAAGAUCCCCAAUAGCGAUAGAAAUCCCAUCGUCCUGCCAUAUUGCCUUGUGUCCUAGUUGUCUGAGCAAGUGCCUGUGCAAAGAGAAACGGUACAAAAUGGUUUGUCAAGUGCCAUACAAAUGUCGUGAAUGCACUGUCUUGUCUCCUCUGACAUCAUGCUGAGCAGGCUCUGGAAACUUCUAUUAGAUUUAGUGAUUAGCCCUUGCAGGAGUAACCCUUAACAAUGUCUGGAGAGAUCUUAGAGUAACGGGAGGUACCGUCCUCAGGAAAAAUCCAGGGCUGCUUCAUAUUACAGUUGAGAGACGAAUACAUUCAUCUUUAUAACACACUUUUACAUAUGUUAUUUCACUGGACUACUGGGCAGUCCACUUAGUGGCUUUUGCUUCUCUCUCCCUGUGGUCCCAAACUCUGAUGGUUGGUUGGGCCACAGGCUGCUGGCCUUCACCAUAUGCACCGAAGAUGGCAGGAUUGGAGGUAAAGCUGCUGCCUGAUUUUCUCUGCCCCUUCAGGGAAGUGUAAGGCUAGGCAUGAAGGUUUAAUAAACAGGUCAGUGCUCA